rnacentral:lncRNA from 1 species
AAAAAAUAAGAAAAUUCAAAAAAAAUUAUAACAAAGUCGUUACAUAUCAAUGCUAGCAUCUCAUAGCGAUAGAAAAAUCUCAGAAAUAAGUAUGUUUACAUAAAAAUAUAUAGGUGUUUCAAACUGAAAUCAAGUCUUUGCACAACUACAUAGAAGCCAAAAAUGUCAACGAUCAUUACAAAAUUUGACCAUACUUCACUUGUCUCAAACAUGCAUUUGUUCCACCAAAACCUCUGCAAAUAACAUAACGAAAAUAGUGAGCCCUUGUAACAGAUUUUUUCCCAACAAGUUUGUAUAUGAAUGCAUCAUAUAAAAAAAGAAGGUUAAAGAAUAAAGUUACAGCAAGCUAACACAUGCAAAUGCAGUUUAGUUCAGACUAACCAGUGGAGGCUUUUCUUUUCUUUUACAUACACAAGCAUGGAGUCUAAUGAAAAAUUACCUACACCCAUCAACCGAGUUCCAAUUUAAUCAAUAUUUAGAUUUAAAAAAGGAGAUCCUCGCAAGUAGGACAAUCAUGUGUUCUCAGAGACAAACCGUACUUAACAAAUGUAUAGUACACAUUAAUUAAGCAUUAAAACCGGCUAACUAGCACUAUAAUUUUUUUAUUGGAUUCCUAAACUAACUAGUACUGAGUAGUUCUGUAGGUCAAAAGCAUGCCUGAGAAUGCAGUGGACAAAUCAUUUAGCACUAAAUAAAUAGCAGCACCAAGACUUUGCUUACGCUUUCUCCCACCACUCACUCCUUGCAUAAAAUCUCCUGUAGACUGAGCUUCAUUGUGUGCACUUGAGACAUCUAGCCCAUCAAAAGGAGUAGUUAGACCUCAAACAGGAUAUCCUGUUAUAGAAAUAGUGAAACACAGAUAACAGGAUCAGGAUAUCCUUUUAAUACAAACAGGAUCUGCACAUCUAUAGAAUGUAAAAGUAAAAAAAAAACAGGAUAUCAUAUUAUAGAACUAGUAGAGUAUAUUAGUUAUGGCUUGACUAAAAUUCAAUGACAUCUAUUUAAAGUUAAGAAGCCAUACAAAGUAAUAGAAACUGAAACUCUCUGAAUUCAAACACUUCAAUGCAAAUCUCUGAAACCAGAUAGGACACAUGUUUUUAAGUUUUUUUAGCAAUAAAAUAGCAGGUUGACUGUAGGCUAGCCUGCCAGGGUCAAGCCAAGCUCCUUUGGUUCUCUGCUAAUUUUCUACAACUAUUCAUUCCCACAGUUUUUAGAACAAAUGCAGAGUAUUUGCCACACCAGAAAUCAUUCAACACAAAUAGCAGGAAGCUAUACAAGUUUCCAUAUUUUAAUCAUUUAUCAUAAAGGAAAAGCUCUGUUUAUUCAACACAAAACUAAUAAUAGCUGAGCGUUCAAUCAAGUUGCUAAGAUCUAGACAACUAAAUUUCACUUUUGCACGUGUUCAGUUAGCAUACUAUCAACAAGCCAUGUCCAGUUUGCCAUAGAAAACAGUAUCCAUCUCAUUAAUAGAUGCAGCACGCAAUAAGCAUGCAGUUAAGUACCUUGCUAUGGUGGGUUCCUCACUGGAGCAGCACGUGGAGCUGGGCGUGGGGCGGACCUUCCUGCCAAUACAAUAAAAAAAUAAGCAUAAAGAAUACAAAAAAUAUGUCCCUGAGAAAUUAGAAGCAAAGAUGUUUCUGAAAUUCCAAGUGGCAAUUACAGACAUCCAAUGUUUCUUAAAAAAAAUACAGACAUUCAACCACCCAAUGAUUACCAGAUCAUCUUCCAAACCUCCAUCGCUAAGAUACUAGCAGUGGUGCAAUUAUCAGGAUAUGCAAAGACAGGGCAAAGACAUAUGAGCUGACUACUGAUACAGGAAUCCAGAUCACAGACAUGCAACAGAUCAAUCUCACCAAAAAAAAGAUAUGCAAAGAAUCGAUUUUCUCAUGAUCAGGGCAAACCAAUAUACAGACCACAAGAACGAUGACUGCUCGAUCUGGUGAGAGUUGAAGAGAGCGAGCCCGAAAGGUAGCAAAACUUCAGUGUUACAGAACUGGUGUAUGUAUGGUAUACAUAAUUAGUGCCAAAAAAUACUUGCAUUGCUUCUUUGUUUUCUGUUUUCCAUUAAACUUUAGAUGCAUUUAACUGGGGUUUUACUGCCUUCGUGAUUUCCAAAUUAAGCUUUAAAAGUAAGCCACAAAGUGUGUCAUCAUGUAUAUACAUGCAUUUUAAUCUAGCUGAUUUCUGAGGGAAGUAGAAAAUAGUGGGUAAAGGCCAAACGCAGCCACCACUUUAGAACUUUUCGGUCAGAUGAAAAUCUGUAUACCAGACCAUGCGUUUCAGUUAUGUAAUGGGGUUCAUACCUCAAUCCUUCAUACCUAUACUGUGUUUGCUAUAAUUGAGAUGAAUUCACUGUUUCUUUUAUGCGGGUCCACAACUUAAGAUUAGCAACUUCUCGGAGAUAGAAAUUUGGAAUGAUGAAUGUAUAUACUCUCUUUGGCUGUUUUAUCAUAGAAAGAAAUAUGUAUGUUUCAGUUUAUAAUCUAAAUGCACAAAAAUAAAAUAUCCAGAGGGGGAGGGAGUUAUGGGCAGUCCUUACCCAAGCAAUAGCAGGAGGCACAGCGCCCUCAGAUCUCCCGCUGCUCUCAGAUUCCGGUUCUCGUGCUGUGUUGCUCGACGUCGAAGCCCUAAUCAGCCGUGGCCUAGUGGGACAGUCUGAGAAGAGCGGAUCAAGAAAAACGAAACCCUAGCGCGAGGCAUAGAGAUGUAGGCUGAGGCGGGUUCACCGUUGCUGUGACCGAAGCGACGAGAAGGUGGAGGGUCGGCGGCGCCGGCGACAGCGACGUCAACGGCGAUAGCGACGAGAUGCUGGGGCGGCGAGCCGGCGACGACAAAGAGAUGAUGGUGCAGCGGCGGCCUCGCAACCGGGCAACGCCGCGAGUCGCGACUUUGCGAGUGCGACGAAUCAGCCGCGCGAGUCGGGGGAAGCCCUCCCGGCCUCAUGAGUCGUGGAUUCGUAACGCGUGGAAAAGAAAGGGAAG